rnacentral:rRNA from 1 species
UACGUAGGCAGCGAGCGUUGUUCGGAGUUACUGGGCGUAAAGGGUGUGUAGGCGGUUCUUUAAGUUUGGUGUGAAAUCUCCCGGCUCAACUGGGAGGUGCGCCGAAUACUGAGGGACUAGAGUACGGGAGAGGAAAGUGGAAUUCCUGGUGUAGCGGUGAAAUGCGUAGAUAUCAGGAGGAACACCGGUGGCGAAGGCGGUUCUCUGGCAUGUCCUGACGCUGAGGAGCGAAAGUGUGGGAGCGAACAGG